CAAGCAGGGCCUCUGUGCAGUGACUCCCCAGGAGAGACGCUCUCAGAAAAAGAGCCGAACACAGACCUUCUCCCGGCGUCUGGAAGCGCCACCUCCCACGGUGGAAAUGAAGGUGUUCCGGAAGCACCUGCUUUCAAAGGACCAAAGUCCAAAGCAACAUUGAAUCAACUGAUACUGGCGGGGGGACUUAGAAUCUGAUAGAUAGAGCACCUAAUUAAUCUGAAAAAUAAUGAUAUUAUUUUAAGUCUUAGAACACAUAUACUUACGUGAAUAGGGGGUUAAGUUUUUCUCAAGUUUCCUUUUCAAGGCCUGUGUGAAGCAAUUAGGGAGGUGACUCAGCUGUGAAUCCAGCAGGCAGAACCGCUAAGCAUGGUCAGACCGACCGAGCAAGAGUCAAAACAUCAUCUUGUCAACCUCAUCUCAUCGCCUGGUGACUAAAGACAGUGGCUGAGGUCUGCAGACCUCCAGGGCUGCACCUAGCUGCAUUCCGUCCCCAGCCUCACCCCCCCACCCCCCCUUUAUAAUUCUGUCCCCUGCACCUUGUGGUAAGAUAGGAUUUGAAUGUUUGUAAGCACCCAAUCUUCUUGGUUGGCUGGCCUUCUCAAUAAACACCUUAUAUGACUCAAUCCUGCCUUCCUUACUGGACACAGGGAGAGGCAGCCCGAGCCCGACCAGGGGUUUCUCGGUAACAUAUUUUGGCCACUCAACAGGACACCCUCCUCUGAGCCCUAGGGUAAGACCCUGCGGGGAGUGCCCAAGGGCUGGGCGGCUGCCUGGACUUGGGAAACGUCUUGCAGGCACCUGUGGAAACUCCCCGGCAGCUGCUGAGUGUUUAACUCGGGGACUUUCCUUAAGUGCUUACAAACUUCCCGGCGCCUUCGCUACUGGUUAAAUCGGCAUUCUUUCUGUGUGCCUGUUCUCGGACAAAAGUCAGUUUCCAGUUGUGGUUUUAUUAACCAAAACUUUACUGGAAUGUCAUGUCUGAGAGAGACAGGCCAGGACUCUGGGUGUCACCAGAAGCUCUGAGGAAUGAAGACUGACUCUGAAGCCGAUAAGCCCCUUGGAUAAAUAGCCUGGUCCCUGCCUGGUCACGUGUUCAUGGCCGUCUUUCCGGGUGAGGAAUGAAGGUUGCUUUCCUGAGAGAGAGCAAGAAGUAACCGCCAGACACCUGUGGGGACCUCCAAAACUUGAGGAAUGCACCCCAAUUCUGUUACAAGCCCUACUCGCACCUACAGAAUGCCGCCUCUAGACACCACUGCCACCUCCUUCCACGCCCAGGCCUCAUGUCCCUCUGACAGAGAGCAAGGAUCUCUUCUCUCCGAGAGAAACCUUCAUCUCCCCUCAGCAGGCAGGAGUUUCAGAAGAGACUCCAUGGCCCUUUUCCAUGAAAGAAUUCAGAGCCAAGGUCCUUGAGGGGUGUGGGGGGCAGUUAGGCAUGAGCAGAGCAAGGGCGCUGGGCCAAUCGGAGGAGAAGUGGAUGGGCCCUGAGACGUGCUUCUCACCACACCAGCUGCUCUGAAGCUGGCAAUGGAGGAACCUGUGUAGAACUGACCUUUACAUUUUGCUGAGUAGGAGUUGGGAUACUUAUAUGUCACCUAAAAAUAGAGGUUUCUAAGGGUUAAGAAUUCGAACUAAGUGGAAAGCAUUUACGGUUGUAGUGUAAUAGAAGGCAUAGAGAUGCAUUUUAAAGGAAAAAGAAAGCAGGUUAACAAACUGAAAGGGACUAGGUGGGUUGCAGAAGGUAUGUGUAAAAUGCAGAGGGUCUGUGCAAGUUAAAGAAGAAUUAGAGUUGAAGUAAGAAAGGUGAGAAGGGAUACAAAGAAAGGGAUAUAACAGGAAGAAAGGAUAUUAGAGUAGGAAUACUUAAGAAGGGAGUAGAAAAGAAGUUGUAUAGUUUUGGUAACAGGCAUGAGGUAGAGAGACAAAAAUGAAGAAAGGUUUGUGAAAGUUGUAGAAGGGUUGUAAAGCGAAAUCUUAAAAGGAAAUUAUAGGUAUACUGAAUAAUAAAUCUAAUUGGAUAAAUCUAAAAUAAACUAAUACAGAAUGUGGUUCUUUUCCUUAGCAUAAAGAAUUAUUGUAAUUUGUUUAUUAUCUUGUUGCUUUAUUCAAUGUAUGCCUCUCUUUUCUAGUGCAUGUCAAUUCAUCAGACUUAAAAGGGGUUAUUGCUGCAUAACAGGGGUAAAAUUAGUGGCACUACAGCAAUAUAAUAAAUUUAAAAAUAAAAUUUAGUAUAGUAUAAGGUUGAUAGAUAUCAACUUAUCUACCUAAUGAUGGGGGGGGGGGACUUAUAAUCUGACGAAGCACCUGAAUUAAUCUGAAAAAUCAUAUUAUUUUAAAUCUUAGAACACAUAUAUACUUAUGUGAAUCGGGGGUUAAGUUUUUCUCAAGUUUCCUUUUCAAGGCCCGUGCUAAGCGAUUACGGAGGUGACUCAGCUGUGAAUCCAGCAGGCAGAACCGAUAAGCAUGGUCAGACUGACCCACCAGGUGUCAAAGCAUCAACUCAUUGUGGACGAAAGGGGCCACAUGCGAGCCUGACAAGCUCAGGGAAGGUCUGCAUGGUGGUCUUGCAAACUCAAAGACCUAAAGUGACCACCAAGGAUGGUCUGAAUUUAAACUUUAACUGAAAGCAGUGAUGGUGGGUAGUCCUAGGCUGCUAUCCUCACUGACAAGGUCAGCUUUUACCUUAACUGAGCCUAUCUGUCUUUUUGCAUCUAUGGUAACACACCCUUGAAAUGUCUGGGUAACCUAUAACCUCUCUUUUUCUGGACCCCUUGGGGCACAACCUGAAGUGCCUGGGCACCAGGACAGAUACCACACAUUCCUUCCUUAGUAUCAUGUUACUUGUUGACUAUUGGCUAUCCUGCACCCACCUAUGUGCUAUCCAAUCCCAGAGGUUUCCCUGCUUUGCUUUCUCCCGCCUCUCUAAUCUAUCACCAAUGAAUUUCAUGUAACCCACCUGCAUCCCCUCC